rnacentral:rRNA from 1 species
AUACGGAGGAUCCGAGCGUUAUCCGGAUUUAUUGGGUUUAAAGGGAGCGUAGGUGGACAGUUAAGUCAGUUGUGAAAGUUUGCGGCUCAACCGUAAAAUUGCAGUUGAUACUGGCUGUCUUGCGUGCAGUAGAGGUGGGCGGAAUUCGUGGUGUAGCGGUGAAAUGCUUAGAUAUCACGAAGAACUCCGAUUGCGAAGGCAGCUCACUGGACUGCAACUGACACUGAUGCUCGAAAGUGUGGGUAUCAAACAGGAUUAGAUACCCUGGUAGUCCACACAGUAAACGAUGAAUACUCGCUGUUUGCGAUAUACAGUAAGCGGCCAAGCGAAAGCAUUAAGUAUUCCACCUGGGGAGUACGCCGGCAACGGUGAAACUCAAAUGAAUUGACGGGG